rnacentral:rRNA from 1 species
GACGGAGGAUGCAAGCGUUAUCCGGAAUGAUUGGGCGUAAAGCGUCCGCAGGUGGCAGUUCAAGUCUGCUGUCAAAGACCGGGGCUUAACUUCGGAAAGGCAGUGGAAACUGAACAGCUAGAGUAUGGUAGGGGCAGAGGGAAUUCCUGGUGUAGCGGUGAAAUGCGUAGAGAUCCGGAGGAACACCGACGGCGUAGGCAGCGCCCUGGACGACACCUGACGCUGAGGCACGAAAGCUGGGGGAGCGAACAGG